CCGCCAUCGUUCUCACUCUCUCCACCAUCGCUCACUCUCCCUGCCAACGUUCUCACUCUCACUCCCACUCCCAAUUUCUUCCCCCUCUAUCUCGCUUUGCAAUCUGUGUGGCCACCAGAAUCCCUCUCUCAAAUUCUAUCCACCCAACUGAAGCAGGGAAGCCCUAAUCCUGUCGCAAACUCUUUCCGAUCAAGUCGCCCACGCCGAUUAUAAAAUGUACACAUUUGUUGAUAUGUAUAAUUUCUAUUGAUAUGUUUUGUUUGUGUGUCCGUAUAUGGCCGGCUUUGUGACUGUUUUCAUCUAUUUUGGAGAAUUUUACUGGAUAUUUACCUUCUUAAUGUGUCUUAUAUGUGAAUAGUUGUAAGAAUCUUAAUUUCUCACAAAUUAUAUGUUCUCACAAAUGGCUACCAACCUCCAUGGAUUUUGUCAUAUUCUAUUUGUUUUUAUUAACUUUGUAAGAUCAAAAGGAUACAAAAAAUUAUUUUGUGCACAGGUCACUGUUUAGGCAAUCGAGAACAAGAAAAAAUUUAAUGUCAAGAUGUGGGGAUUGUGAAAAAUUGAUGAAAAAGUUAAAAGUCAUUACAGUCUUCUGCCUUCAUAUGCAUUGUAAAUGUUUUAGCCUGUCAAUAGCCAUUUUCUGCGAGAUUAGCUUAAGCUGGACUAUAGAUUGACAUUCUCAGUUGUUCAGUGUUGAUUCUUCCUCAGUUACUUGAUGUGUGUGUCCAGCAAGUCUUCCUCAAUUACUUGUAUUGCCGAAAAAUGCAUAAGGGUAUUUUUUUUUUUUAGCCUACUAUAAUAUCUCAUCAUUGAUGAUAUUACUUAGGCUAUUCAUAUUAAUAAUUUCACAAAAUUGGUCCAUAGACUGAUGAUGCUUGUACUUAAAGAGAACAUGAAAACUCACAGCCAAUAUGUUAUCAAUUUCAUUUUGUAUCCUCCAGUUCAAGCAAUCAAUUAGAACAUGAAAACACACAGCCAAUAUGUUAUCAAUAGGUUUAAUCUCAAAGAUCUUAUUGCAGGUAUAAAUUUCAUAUUUUCUUAUUUGUGAUUUCAGAUCUUCAAUUUCUAGACUUUGUUUGAGAAAUCACAUUUUCUUGUCUGUUGAAUUCUAUGUAUGUACAGGUGAAUUAAAUAUAUGGCAGCGGUUUCAGUUCAUCAGCUCGCUCAGUGCAUUACUUGCCAUGCUUGGAGUCCAGACCAUUCUAGUACGUCUUUAAUUCUGAAAAACCCCUCUUUUGAAUUCACAGUUUAUGAAUUUGAUUUGAUUUUAUGAUAUACAAAUCAAUUAAUGAUAAUUCGUUUAUGUUCAAAUCGUAGUGAUAGCAUUAUGCCCAAAUAACAACGAAGUGCAUAUAUAUAGAUUAUCCGAAGACGACAAAUGGGAGAAGAUCCACGUUCUUCAGAAGGUAACUUGAAAUUGAGUUUUUAAUAUCUUUGCUUGUACAGUUGUACGCAAUUGUGAUUUCCCUAUAUGGGCUUCAAUUUUAACAGUUUUAUGGCGAUGCAUCAGUCAGUAAUCAGAACUUUAGAAAAUCAAUAAUCUUUCUAUUUCGAUUCACCAGGAGCAGUUUUGAAAAUAUAUAGAGCUUGAUGAUGGUGUAUUUAGAUUUUUAGCAUGUAAGAUAUAUAUCUUGUCGCCUUGAUGACACUAGAGAGAAUGGGAAGAAGUGGGCUUAUCAGAGGAUAAAUAUAUACAUAGUAUUUUGAUUAAAUGGGGGCAAUAGUAAAAUGUGAUAAAGAAGAUGCUUUGCAAAUUAUUUUGUUUUGUCUUUUUUGUGUAUGUGCGCUAUUUUUUGAAUUAGUAACAAUUCAUGAUGCUAGCCAUGAUGUGAAAUUUAUCAGAAAGAAUUUUGACUUUCAUUUUAUGUUCUAGUGUUUUCGUAGUAGAUGUUAUAUUGAACUUAGUAAUAUUUGAGCGAGUUGUCUUACUUGUCUUUAGUGAGAAAGCUUUUCUGAUUAUCGCUUUGUUUCUUUCUUUUCUUUCCCUUGUGACAUCAUGACCAAAUUGUUUUUGGAGUAGAUUGCUUGAAGUAUGAUUGGUAAAAAGAAUACAUGAAAUCCAUCAGAACUAUGAUGGAAAAAAGUCAGCUUUCUCAUAAAACUUUUUUUUUUUGAGUAUUUUUUCGAUCUUUGGAUCUGGGAAGCACUAAUAUGUUGCUAAUUGUCAUUGCAGCUGAUGAACCACUAAAGACGACUUUCCAGGUUCGGCAUCGUUGCUGAUCUGUUUUGUACAAAUUGAUUUUCUUGAAGUUAAAUUGAUUUGGGCUCUGCUUACUUAUUUUGUUUGUUAAUUCAUUUGUUUAGUGUCUAAAUUUCGGGAAUUUGGAUAUUGGGAUAGUCAAUGUCAAGUAAAAGAAAUUACCUUUUAACUCAGAUUUGAGUUUCUUGGAGAAUGUUACAAAAAAACUCAUAAAUUAUUUCUUGUUUAGACAGGUCGAAUAUUAACUGAUGUACAAAUUUGGACAUGGUGUGUGUUGGGAGGGGGGUAUACUUGAGUUUCUGAGAGAUUCAAAGUUGGAGUUCUGAUGCAAAUGCGAUCUUCAAGUUUUCAUUUGAUUUGGAUUGGUUUUAUUCCAUGAUUCGCUUUUAUACAAGAAUUUGGUAUCAUUGAGUGUAUAGGUGGAGUUCUAAUGUGAUCUUCUUUUGUAUACAUUGAGGCUUGCAUUUUUUAGUUUGGUUAUUUUUUGCAAUUUUUGUGCUUUGAGGCAGAUUAUUUGUCUCUGGUUAUAACUGUAUCUAUUUUAUUACCAUUCUAUUCAAUCAAUCUAAUUUCUAUUCCUUAAACAGUCUUCCUUAGCUUUACAGCAACCUAUAUGAAUAUACAAAUUAGAAAAAUCGAGAGAUUCUUUCAAGAAAACUAGUUUUGUAACCAUUUUAGAAAAUAGAAGGUGAUUGAUUCUCAUAUUGCUGGAAAGAACAAUACUAGUGCAUUACCACACAAAAUCAAGCUAUUAUUCGUUUAUUUCCCACAUCUACUGGUUUUGGAAGAUGAAGAUUCUUUUCGUUAGGAAACCUGCAAGUAUUACACGGACAAAUUUUCUGUUCGAAUUUUAUAAAUUGAAAUGUAUAAACUGUUACAUUUUGUCCUGGUUUUCAGAAUAUACAUCAAGGGUAACCCACUGAGAAUUUGGUGAGAUUUCUGAAAGCAAGGGAUGGGAAUGUCUCCAAUGCGUAUAAAAUGGUACGACACAUUCUAUUUUAAGAAAAUCCCAAAGAGUAUCUGACUUGAAUCAAGUUUAUCGAUUUCAAGUAUUCUUACCAAUCAUACUUCAUGUUUCAAAUGAUUGAUUUCUUGAACUGGAGGAUACAAAAUGAAAUUGAUAACAUAUUGGCUGUGAGUUUUCAUGUUCUCUUUAAGUACAAGCAUCAUCAGUCUAUAGACCAAUUUUAGUCUUGACUAAUGCAUUCAUAAAAAUCUGUUACAUAUUCUACGCCUUCAGUCAGUUUAUGUUUUGUCCAGCCUUUAACUUAUUUCAAUAGAUAACUAAAUCUCUAUUAUAUUAUCUGAACUUAGAUUCAUACUCGAUCUGAGUUUUCUGAGGACAAGCUUCUCUGUGGCGAUCAUGAAGAUUGAAUUUACCCAUUGCAUUCAAAAGAGAGGUGCAGGCCAAGAAGAAAGUAACGGGAAGGAUAUUUUAGAGCUAGCCAACCCAACGAUUUGAAGACAACAAGUUGUAAAUUAUCUUCUUUUAUACAAUAAUUUUCUGUUGUUUAAGAGGAGUGUAAGAUGAUGUUUAUUUGAUGGGCAAUAUGUAAAACAAAAUUUUUUUCCGAUUUAUUACAAUGAUGUGUUUUGACUAUUUGGUAUGGAUGAA
rnacentral:lncRNA from 1 species